rnacentral:rRNA from 1 species
UCAGGCCUAACACAUGCAAGUCGAACGAACCCUUCGGGGUUAGUGGCGCACGGGUGCGUAACGCGUGGGGAUCUGCCCUUUGCUUCGGAAUAACAGUUAGAAAUGACUGCUAAUACCGGAUGAUGUCGGAAGACCAAAGAUUUAUCGGCAAAGGAUGAACCCGCGUAGGAUUAGCUAGUUGGAGGGGUAAAGGCCUACCAAGGCGACGAUCCUUAGCUGGUCUGAGAGGAUGAUCGGCCACACUGGGACUGAGACGCGGCCCAGACUCCUACGGGGGGCAGCAGUGGGGAAUAUUGGACAAUGGGCGAAAGCCUGAUCCAGCAAUGCCGCGUGAGUGAUGAAGGCCUUAGGGUUGUAAAGCUCUUUACCAGGGAUGAUAACGA